AAUAGAUACCCCGGUAGUCCACGCCGUAAACGAUGCUAACUCGUUUUUGGGCCUUUGGGUUCAGAGACUAAGCGAAAGUGAUAAGUUAGCCACCUGGGGAGUACGUUCGCAAGAAUGAAACUCAAAGGAAUUGACGGGGGGCCCGCACAAGCGGUGGGAUUAUGUGGUUUAAUUCGAUGAUACGCGAGGAACCUUACCAAGGCUUAAUGGGAAAUGACAGGCUUAGAAAUAGGCUUUUCUUCGGACAUUUUUCAAGGUGCUGCAUGGUUGUCGUCAGCUCGUGCCGUGAGGUGUUAGGUUAAGUCCUGCAACGAGCGCAACCCCUGUCACUAGUUGCCAUCAUUAAGUUGGGGACUCUAGUGAGACUGCCUACGCAAGUAGAGAGGAAGGUGGGGAUGACGUCAAAUCAUCACGGCCCUUACGCCUUGGGCCACACACGUAAUACAAUGGCCAGUACAGAGGGCAGCUACACAGCGAUGUGAUGCAAAUCUCGAAAGCUGGUCUCAGUUCGGAUUGGAGUCUGCAACUCGACUCUA
rnacentral:rRNA from 1 species